rnacentral:tRNA from 1 species
AGCUCCGAGGUGUCAUCACGUAAGGUUGCAAACCUUAAGAGGAAGGCUACCGCCUUCCGGGGCUU